rnacentral:ncRNA from 1 species
UUACUAGAAACAAUUUUCUUUAACUCUACUCUAACCAUACUUCACUCUCUCAAUAUUUUAGUUUUUCAACUGUAUAACUCCUAUCGUUUCCUUACUUACUUGAUUAAGUGGAAUGUAUCUUAUUACUUAGCCACUAUAGGGAUAUAUUUAUACAUCUUAUAGCAUUGGGUUUUGAUGCAAACUUCUUGAUCUUGAGUACUAAAGAGUUUGUUAUAUGAUUGUAAACAAAUUGUAAUGAGAUUGUUUGGCGUUUGGGUGCUUAUUCAAUCAAUAUUUAGAAUUUGGUAUAACUCGCAAUACUCAGGUAUGAUCCAAUUGAAGGACAUUGCUAGGGAGUUGUCCCAAUAAAAGGGUAAAAGCUGACUUGAUGUCAGUGCUCAGUACACACAGGGACAGAAAAAGUUCGCCUUAUGAUGGAGGAGUUUCUAAGGAGUCUUUAACAAGAGAUAUCGGAAAAGUUAGCAUAGUUAUAACUGACUUGUGGCGACCGAGCGUUCAUAGUGACGUCGCUUUCUGAUUCUUUGAUGUCGGCUCUUCCUAUCAUUUCGAAACAAAACCCAUCAAGCAUUGGAUUGUUCAUCCAUACAAGGAAACGUGAGCUGGGUUUAAGCCACCGGGGAAGGGAUUAGUUUUACCCUACUAAUAACAAUGGGUUGUUGCGACAGAAUUUCUGCGUAGUAUGAGAGCAUGUACGGACACAAUGGCACAAUACUUGGUCGAGCGAAAAGUGUUAUGAUGCUAUGUCCAUUCGAUCAUGCCUGAAUGCCUUUAAAGUCGUAUCCGAACUGGACUACAAUAAUAAAAAUGGGACAAUUGCACCUCCUUUAAUCACAAAUUUUGGUUAUGUAACAUAUUAGCGACAGGGUACGUUUUUAUGAUACUUUUCUUUGGAAAAAAUGAUUAGACCAAAUGAUCAAGCAAAACAACAAUCAUUCAGACCGAAUUUGGAAUAUACGACGACUAUGCCAAAAGAGUCUCUCCAACUGGCACAUCAAUUA